CUCGUUUGUCCUGACCGGCAGGCUGCAGAACAUGGAUAUAGCAAUCUGCUUGGCUGACUCCUGCCACACAUCGGGAGUCAUGGAAUAGGUCUCAGCAGGUUAAGAGCCAUGUACCUACGCACAGCAGAAUGCUGUGAUUACAGCAGAUGAAAGCAUGCUCAGGGGUAGAUGAAGAGCUUUUUGAACUGAAUCUGAAGGGAGAAGUCUGCCAUGGAGAUGAGACUUGAUCAGUACCUGAACUUGAUAUAAUAUCUUCUAUGAAAGAAGGGAGAGCAGGAAGUGAUCUUUUAUACAGGACAAGUGAAACCAGAAACACCAUUGUUUUUGAAGACAAAAUGCACUUGACAUUUGUUAAGAUGAAAACCAAAGGCAGACCCGACACUUGGAAUCCUGAAUAGAGGUGUGAGCCCACAAAUGAAACCCGUGAAGGAUGGGAACCAUGUAUGUUCUCCUGGAAGUAGGAUGUGAUUGUGUGAUUAUUUAUUGACUAGAAAAAGCAAUUUAAGGGAAAAAUAACUGGAACUGGACUUUCAUUGCUUGGGUUUCUCAUGCUGUCCAUUGCCUUUCACCAGCUAUUUCAUGCGUCUCUGCAGUUGAGACUGGAAGUACCACCAAGCUGCAUUUGUUAUGUGUGACUAACAUGCGUUUGCAUUCUUUGUUUAAUAUUCUGUGUUUGAAGGCUCCUUCUGAUCGAAUGUGGGCAAUUACUUGCUACCCAAGGCAAAUUGUGAAGGGCAUUUAUACAGAACAUAUUUUAGAGUAAUAUAAUCCUAUUUGGUUUUAUUUACAGACGUGUAUAUUUGCAGUCUUUUAUCCCUUUUCCUGACCACUCUUCUGGUCAACUUUAACUGCAGAUUUGGAGCUGGCACACUGAAUACUGCUCUAUUCUUUACUCAUAAUAUCAAGUCAAAAAUGGUCGUGUUCAUAAGGCAUUGCACAGUUUCUAUCUAAUGGUAUCAAUCUGUGCAUCACAGAGCGUUUCUUUUCCUGACAUUAUUACUUUACUGAAAUUAAGCUUGAAACAAUCUGAUGUCAGAUACUGUAUAUCUACUUUUAUUGCCAGCCUUUCUGAGCCCACCAUAUUGCCAGGACUGCAUCUCAUUUUAGAUGGGUUUAACCAGAUAUAUAUUCUCAAGUUUAUUGAGAGUUGGAUAGAUUACAUUUCCCAUUCUCAAAGAGCAGGCUGGUCCUUUCAGUGCAUUUUAUAGAACAAAUGUAAAUUCCCAUGCUGCAGUUGACAAAAAUUCAUGGUUCUUUUCUUAGUGUCAAAAAUAAAUUCAGCAUAGCAUUGGAGAUGAGUAAGUGUGGUGUAGAGGAGCAGGCUUCAGUUCACCCUUUCUGAUUUAGCAGCAGUUUCGAUGCACUUGAGAAAUAUGUAAAAGUUCAAUUAUUAUGGUCUAGGCAAGGAGAUUUGCUCACACAACAGAGCUACUGUACUUGGGAAUGAAUUGUAAGGACUCCAUGAAAUGCAAAGCACCUUCUGAGCACAGCAAGCCCAUCUUCCUCCCAUCUUCUCUGUCUCCUUCCUUUCCCUAUCUACUUAUAUAUCUUAUAUGAAGUCUUUUCAAAAGAGGCCUUCACUGUAGUUAAAUAAAAUACAGCAUAAAAAAUUGCCAAAUCACUCCAUUAAAAUGCAAUAAAAAUUAGUCUUUUGCUAUGUU
ensembl:lncRNA